UACGCGUAGUUAUUGGCAAGUAGGUCACGAAUCAGCAUCGCCUACUCCGUGCCAGCAGCCGCGGUAAUACGGAGGAUGCAGGCGUUAUCCGGAUUUAUUAGGUUUAAAGGGUGUUCAGGCUGUCUGGUAAGUCAGAGGUGAAAGUCGGUUGCUNAACGAUCGAAUUGCCUUUGAAACUGUCAGACUUGAGUAUGGAUGCGGUAGGCGGAAUGUGUAGUGUAGCGGUGAAAUGCAUAGAUAUUACACAGAACACCGAUUGCGAAAGCAGCUUACCAAACCAGCACUGACGCAGAAGCACGAAAGCGUGGGUAGCGAACAGGAUUAGAUACCCUGGUAGUCCACGCAGUAAACGAUGCUCACUCGCUGUUGGCAAUAGAUCGUCAGCGGCUAAGGGAAACCGAUAAGUGAGCCACCUGGGGAGUACGAUCGCAAGAUUGAAACUCAAAGGAAUUGACGGGGGCCCGCACAAGCGGUGGAACAUGUGGUUUAAUUCGAUGAUACGCGAGGAACCUUACCUGGGCUUAAAUGUACGAUGCAUAAGUGUGAAAGCGCUUUUUCCUUCGGGACUUUGUACAAGGUGCUGCAUGGUUGUCGUCAGCUCGUGCCGUGAGGUGUCGGGUUAAGUCCCAUAACGAGCGCAACCCCUAUUGUUAGUUACCAGCGCGUAAAGGCGGGGACUCUAGCGAAACUGCCGGUGUAAACCGCGAGGAAGGUGGGGAUGACGUCAAAUCAGCACGGCCCUUAUGUCCAGGGCUACACACGUGUUACAAUGGCCGGUACAGCGGGCAGCGAGGCAGCGAUGCCGAGCGAAUCUCGAAAGCCGGUCCCAGUUCGGAUUGGAGUCUGCAACCCGACUCCAUGAAGGUGGAAUCGCUAGUAAUCGCGCAUCAGCCAUGGCGCGGUGAAUACGUUCCCGGGCAUUGUACACACCGCCCGUCAAGCCAUGGAAGUCUGGGGUGCACUGAAGGCCGUAACCGCGAGGAG
rnacentral:rRNA from 1 species